rnacentral:rRNA from 1 species
AGAGUUUGAUCCUGGCUCAGGACGAACGCUGGCGGCGUGCCUAAUACAUGCAAGUCGAGCGAACAGAAAAGGAGCUUGCUCCUUUGACGUUAGCGGCGGACGGGUGAGUAACACGUGGGCAACCUACCCUAUAGUUUGGGAUAACUCCGGGAAACCGGGGCUAAUACCGAAUAAUCUCUUUUACUUCAUGGUGAAAGACUGAAAGACGGUUUCGGCUGUCGCUAUAGGAUGGGCCCGCGGCGCAUUAGCUAGUUGGUGAGGUAACGGCUCACCAAGGCGACGAUGCGUAGCCGACCUGAGAGGGUGAUCGGCCACACUGGGACUGAGACACGGCCCAGACUCCUACGGGAGGCAGCAGUAGGGAAUCUUCCGCAAUGGACGAAAGUCUGACGGAGCAACGCCGCGUGAGCGAUGAAGGUCUUCGGAUCGUAAAGCUCUGUUAUUAGGGAAGAACAAGUAUCGGAGUAACUGCCGGUACCUUGACGGUACCUAACCAGAAAGCCACGGCUAACUACGUGCCAGCAGCCGCGGUAAUACGUAGGUGGCAAGCGUUGUCCGGAAUUAUUGGGCGUAAAGCGCGCGCAGGCGGUCCUUUAAGUCUGAUGUGAAAGCCCACGGCUCAACCGUGGAGGGUCAUUGGAAACUGGAGGACUUGAGUGCAGAAGAGGAGAGUGGAAUUCCACGUGUAGCGGUGAAAUGCGUAGAGAUGUGGAGGAACACCAGUGGCGAAGGCGACUCUCUGGUCUGUAACUGACGCUGAGGCGCGAAAGCGUGGGUAGCGAACAGGAUUAGAUACCCUGGUAGUCCACGCCGUAAACGAUGAGUGCUAAGUGUUAGAGGGUUUCCGCCCUUUAGUGCUGCAGUUAACGCAUUAAGCACUCCGCCUGGGGAGUACGGCCGCAAGGCUGAAACUCAAAGGAAUUGACGGGGGCCCGCACAAGCGGUGGAGCAUGUGGUUUAAUUCGAAGCAACGCGAA